rnacentral:tRNA from 1 species
GCCACGGUUGUCUAGCGGUUAGAACGCUGGCCUUGUAAUCCUGGGGGCUCGGGUUCGAUUCCCGGCGGUGCCC